rnacentral:lncRNA from 1 species
CCUUUGGCCACUGCACCCCCUCUUCCUUCUCCUUUUUUUUCAAUCUAAUACGUGGGACAUACCAAGUGAUGAGAUCCUUUCUGGCAUCCUAAGAAAAUGCCAACUAUAGAACAACAGAUGUAGUCUCCUUAUUAAGGUCUGAAGACCAAACUUCUUAGUACAAAGCAGUCAAGUCUUUUCUCAACAUGACCCCAAUCAAGCUUUUGAACUUAACAUCAAAAUAUAACUUAAGAAGAACUUUUGGAAUAGAGCUCAGUUCAAACUCUUCCUAUUGCAAACGAGG